GACGAACGCUGGCGGCGUGCUUAACACAUGCAAGUCGAACGGAAAGGCCCUGCUUUUGUGGGGUGCUCGAGUGGCGAACGGGUGAGUAACACGUGAGUAACCUGCCCCUGACUUUGGGAUAACUUCAGGAAACUGGGGCUAAUACCGGAUAGGAGCUCCUGCUGCAUGGUGGGGGUUGGAAAGUUUCGGCGGUUGGGGAUGGACUCGCGGCUUAUCAGCUUGUUGGUGGGGUAGUGGCUUACCAAGGCUUUGACGGGUAGCCGGCCUGAGAGGGUGACCGGCCACAUUGGGACUGAGAUGCGGCCCAGACUCCUACGGGAGGCAGCAGUGGAGAAUAUUGCACAAUGGGCGGAAGCCUGAUGCAGCAACGCCGCGUGCGGGAUGACGGCAUUCGGGUUGUAAACCGCUUUCGCCUGUGACGAAGCGUGAGUGACGGUAAUGGGUAAAGAAGCACCGGCUAACUACGUG
rnacentral:rRNA from 1 species